rnacentral:rRNA from 1 species
AUUGAACGCUGGCGGCAGGCCUAACACAUGCAAGUCGAACGGUAACAGGAAGCAGCUUGCUGCUUUGCUGACGAGUGGCGGACGGGUGAGUAAUGUCUGGGAAACUGCCUGAUGGAGGGGGAUAACUACUGGAAACGGUAGCUAAUACCGCAUAACGUCGCAAGACCAAAGAGGGGGACCUUCGGGCCUCUUGCCAUCGGAUGUGCCCAGAUGGGAUUAGCUAGUAGGUGGGGUAACGGCUCACCUAGGCGACGAUCCCUAGCUGGUCUGAGAGGAUGACCAGCCACACUGGAACUGAGACACGGUCCAGACUCCUACGGGAGGCAGCAGUGGGGAAUAUGCACAAUGGGCGCAAGCCUGAUGCAGCCAUGCCGCGUGUAUGAAGAAGGCCUUCGGGUUGUAAAGUACUUUGCAGCGGGGAGGAAGGCGAUAAGGUUAAUAACCUUGUCGAUUGACGUUACCCGCAGAAGAGCACCGCUAACUCC